AUCCAGAUGAGGAGUCCCAAAAUAGGACGAAAUGCGCAUCCUGGAU
rnacentral:hammerhead_ribozyme from 1 species